rnacentral:rRNA from 1 species
GAGUUUGAUCGUGGCUCAGAUUGAACGCUGGCGGCAUGCCUUACACAUGCAAGUCGAACGGCAGCACGGGAGCUUGCUCCUGGUGGCGAGUGGCGAACGGGUGAAUAAUGCAUCGGAACGUAUCCUGGAGUGGGGGAUAACGUAGCGAAAGUUACGCUAAUACCGCAUAUUCUGUGAGCAGGAAAGCGGGGGACCUUCGGGCCUCGCGCUCUUGGAGCGGCCGAUGUCGGAUUAGCUAGUUGGUGAGGUAAAGGCUCACCAAGGCGACGAUCCGUAGCAGGUCUGAGAGGAUGAUCUGCCACACUGGAACUGAGACACGGUCCAGACUCCUACGGGAGGCAGCAGUGGGAAUUUUGGACAAUGGGGGCAACCCUGAUCCAGCCAUGCCGCGUGAGUGAAGAAGGCCU